rnacentral:lncRNA from 1 species
UCCCUAAACUAUCCAAUAAUUUAUCGCCAAAAUCAUUCAUGUCGUCAUGAGCCUAAUAUUCUCGGCUUGAAAUAAUCCAAACAAAACCUUAAGAUAAUGACUCAAUUUACAAAAACUGAAUUUUGAAAACAAAGUCAGCAGGAGUAUUCUCAACCAUAUAAAAGGCUCCCUAGUGUUUUAUCACCGAGUGAAAUCUGCACUCUCUGCCUUUGUCUUUCACUUUCUCGUCAUGGUGCCAAGCCAAAUUAAUGGAGCAAACGAUGAAACCAUCAACAAUAGUGUCUCUGGUCUCUGGGGUAUAGGAGAGCCAGUCACCAGUAUACACAAGAGUCCAAUGAUCAUCCAGCUGGCCUUGAUCUUCAUGGCAUUUCUUAGUUAAUUUUCUCGCUACGCCCAGAGCCACUGAACAUCUAGUUUGGCUCAUGGACACAAUUUGACUCCCAAGUCCCAACACCUCCAAUCCCCUACCAUCUACUCAACAGGUGAAUGUAGUGGCACGAUAUUUCUUCAAUGAUGUCUUGGCAUGCCCUCAUUAGCUAGGUACCCGCAGCUAAUAUAU